UACGUAGGAGGCAAGCGUUGUCCGGAAUUACUGGGCGUAAAGCGCGUGUAGGUGGUGGGACAAGUCUGCUGUGAAAGCGCCUGGCUUAACCGGGCGAGGUCGGCGGAAACUGUCCGACUCGAGGACGGUAGAGGGGGGUGGAAUUCCCGGUGUAGUGGUGAAAUGCGUAGAGAUCGGGAGGAACACCUGUGGCGAAGGCGGCUUUCUGGGCCCUACCUGACGCUGAGACGCGAAAGCGUGGGGAGCGAACCGG
rnacentral:rRNA from 1 species